rnacentral:rRNA from 1 species
GGCCCUACGGGGCGCAGCAGGCGCGAAACCUCUGCAAUGCGGGAAACCGUGACAGGGGGAUCCCAAGUGCUCAUGCAUUGCAUGGGCUGUUCUUUGGUCUAAGUAACCAGAGGAGUAAGGGCUGGGCAAGACCGGUGCCAGCCGCCGCGGUAAUACCGGCAGCUCAAGUGGUAGCCGCGAUUAUUGGGCCUAAAACGUUCGUAGCCGGAUAAGUAAGUCUUUGGUUAAAUCCUGCGACUCAACCGUGGGAAUUCUAGAGAUACUGCUCGUCUUGAGACCGGGAGAGGUUGGAGGUACUCCUAGGGUAGGGGUGAAAUCUUGUAAUCCUUGAAGGACCACCAGUGGCGAAGGCGUCUCACCAGAACGGACCUGACGGCAAGGGACGAAAGCUAGGGGCACGAACCGGAUUAGAUACCCGGGUAGUCCUAGCCAUAAACGAUACUCGCUAGGUGUCGGCCACGGUGCGACCGUUGUCGGUGCCGUAGGGAAGCCGUGAAGCGAGCCACCUGGGAAGUACGGCCGCAAGGCUGAAACUUAAAGGAAUUGGCGGGGGAGCACCACAACGGGUGGAGCUUGCGGUUUAAUUGGAUUCAACGCCGGAAAUCUUACC